AUUUACUGGACCAGCUGGAAGGGCGGCAACCUCACCCCUCUUCCCACUCGGAAGUAAUUCCUUUCACAACUGGGGUAAGGAAGAGGUGUUAUGUCCAUCUGUUAAUGACCACAGAUACCAGGAGCAAGGAAAAGAGUGUACAUCCUGCUGCCUCUUUCUCUUGGCACCAGAAGAUGAAGAGGCACUGCACAGAGACUUGGCCUGCCAUGGGAGGAGAGGAAAAUGUACUAGUCAACGAGUCAACAACCCCAGGGCAAAUCUCUGAGGAAGAGGAAAGCUUUCUGAAGAAGGGAGAUGAUAGAUUCAUCUUCCUUUGAAAGACACUGUCUUCUGUCUCUAGGACAUGCACAGAUCUGAGGCAAGUUCUCUCUUUGGCUUUCCCAGGUCAUCUCCACUGCACAACUGAUGUUACUUUUCCCUUGUAUUUCUGAAAUUACUCUUCUCUGUUGCACAACUACUCUUGCUGACAUUUCUGGAAAGUGAAAAACAUGUUAAUAAAUACAGCUCUCUGCCUGUCAAAUCUGAAAAUUGGGAAAGCUCCACGUUCAGAAGACCAAACUACAAAUCCUUGCUGCUGCAAUGCAACAGAUGGACUUUGAAAUACAGCAAAUAACUAUAUUAGAUAAUUAUCACCUGGGUGAAACAUUUGGUAUGUUCAUACAUCAGAUCUAUCCUCCCUGCUCAACAGAUCAUGUACAACCUAG
rnacentral:lncRNA from 12 species